UCAGCCAAGCAAGUGGGGAGCAGAGAGCAAGCAGAGGGUCCUGUCCUAAAAAGUAAACAUGUCUGCUGAGAAAAGCCAAUGAGAGGGAGAAGAGAUCUUCAAAGGGAAGGGCAGAUUGGGCAAUGCUCAUGGGUGCCACUGUGGAGAGCAUCUGUCCUCAGACCUGAAUUGUGUGGUCAGUCUCCAGGAUAAACUUCCUUUGGGUUUCCCAGAACAGGUCCCCAUGUUGCUGUGGCCUUUGAUGCUGGUUCUAGGUGAGUGGACAUCAUGAAUUAGGACCUGGAUCGGGGCAGGGGCUGAGCACUAAUCUCAAAUGCUCAUAAAAGCUUCUGUUGUGCUCUGCCCUAAGGCAGUCUCUAGGCUAGAGGGAUGGGGCAAGCUUUUCUGGAAUAUAAGGCCCUGGCCUCUUAAAUAAGAAUUUAGGAGCACAUCAAAACAAAAAUGGUGAUAAUAGAAAUGCUAAUAUUUAUUGAGUGUUCGCUAGUAAUUUAUAUGUGUUAAUUCAUUUUAAUCUUUACACUAAAUACUGCCACAUAGGAUUUGUAUCAGAAUUGAAGACUAUAUGGAAAUUCACUUUUAUUAUAUUAAAUAAAUACAUCAAAAUGCUGAAUAAAAGAAAUCAUAUGGGUUGGGCAGAGUGGCUUAUGCCUUUGGAAGGCUGAGGUGGGCAGAUCGCUUGAGCCCAAGAGUUUGAGACCAGCCUGGGCAGCAUGGUGAAACCCCAUCUCUACACAAACAAUCGGCUGGGUGUGGUGUUGUGUACCUGUAGUCCCAGCUACUUGGGAAGCUGAGGCGGCAGGAUCACCCAAGCCUGGGGGGCUGAGGCUGCAGUGAGCUGGUAUCAUGCCACUGCACUCCAGUCUGGACGACAGACCGAGACUCUGGCUCUCAAAAUAAAAACAAAAAACAAACAGAAAAAGAAAUCACAUGAUGACAACGGCUGUCAAAAGUAUUGACGCAGUAUUAAAAAUCAAUAUCCAUUCCAAAAAGAAGUAUUCUUAAGCCAGAAGAAUACUUACUUAACAUGAUAAAGAAUAUGUGUUCUAGAUUGACAGGCAAUAUUACACCUUAAAAAUUCAAAUUGGAGCUAGAACCAAGAUGACUACAAUCAUCAUAAUUUGCAAUAGUUUUUAAAUCCUGGCCAACACACUAAAUUAGUAGCAAAAAUAGGCAGCAUACAUAUAGGAAGCCAAGAUUUUAAAAAGUAUGAUUUAUUCUUUAUUCAUUCCCACAGUAUUUGUCACCGGCUUGUUUGCUAUUAUUGCUAUGUGCUAUACAGCCACUGCUCUUGAUCACAUCAUCUA
rnacentral:lncRNA from 1 species